UGGUACCCUGCCCAAGUCCUCCUCCUUCCCACAGGCUCAGCAAAGUAAAUAUGACUUUUCAGUUAGAAACCAAACCAGCUCCUCGGUGCUGUUCACGUAACACUGAGAGUCUAUGAUUUUGGUGAAGGUGAGCAACCAGCAGCUGUAGUGACAGUGCUGAGGAACUGGUACAUCUUUUGUUUUACAGCUGUGCGUGAAGUCCCAGAAUUGACGGUUCUCUUAAAACACUUUACAGCCCACUGGGCGAACAGUAGAUGUCUCCAGGAUCCUUGAGUAACUCAGGAGUAACUUGGGAGUGGAAGGACAAUGUAGGGGGCAAUGCAGAAACACAUAAUUUUUACACGUUUUAGAAGAUUUUUGAGGAAGGAACAUCAUUUCUGCAGUCUGAUGAGUUAUGGCGAGAGGCCUCCCCUGCAGAGCUCUGGGAGGCUGGUGGGGACAGGGGCUGGCCAGAAGAACUUGUGUGCUUGGCAGGUGUAGGCUUGGGUAAAGUCCUACAGUACUGAACACGAGGAAAAGUUGGAUGACAACAUGGGCUCUGCGUCGGUAACAACUUGUAUAAGAGAGUGUGAGAGUAUAAGAGACAGCAGAAUUCUUCAGGUCAACUUUUGUACAGAGACUCUCUUUCAACAGCCUCACAACUUAUUUCAAAAUGUUUAAGUACUGUUGAGGGACCAGAGCAGAACCUUUUUGGUUUGGAGACAGCCAAAGCCCAGCUGAUCAGUGGGUGGAGCUGGCAGAUAACAUGACUGCUGCUGCAAAGUAUGGAUCUCCAUGGCAUGCCCCUCUUGCACUGCUCCAACUGGCAGGCUCACAAGGGCACAUGAUGGUGCUUCAGGUUGUAACAUCUCUGACAGCAGCAUGUCAAGUGCUGGAAGUUGAAAGAGCAAGUGAAAGAGCAGGGUGGUUUCAGAGCAAUUUCAGGGCAAUGUGAAUGAGGAAAAAGUCUGCCUAAAGCUGAAACCGUGUAAUGAAGCGGCAAGAAUAAGACUAUAUGUGAUCAGUCACACUGCUUGACAGCUGAAUUAUAAAGAUUAAUUCUCCAGUAAUGUUGGCAAG
rnacentral:lncRNA from 1 species